UACGUAGGGGGCUAGCGUUGUCCGGAUUCAUUGGACGUAAAGCGCGUGUAGGCGGCCAGGUAGGUCCGUUGUGAAAACCCGAGGCUUAACCUCGGGACGCCGACGGAAACCAUCUGGCUAGGGUCCGGAAGAGGAGAGUGGAAUUCCCGGUGUGGCGGUGAAAUGCGCAGAUAUCGGGAAGAACACCCGUGGCGAAGGCGGCUCUCUGGGACGGUACCGACGCUGAGACGCGAAAGCGUGGGGAGCGAACAGG
rnacentral:rRNA from 1 species